ACAGCCCACGUCCCUAUUUAAACAGCGCUCACUGCGGCUCCCGACAAAGCCGGCCGGAGCUGAAGCCGCCGAUUUCUGGAGUGUCCGAGUCUGGCUCAGUGCACAGGGCGAUGGGCGUCGCUCCUUAUCUCUGUCUCCUUCUGUCCUGUCUGGCAGGUGUGCGGUCCGACGUCGUGCUGACACAGCCCGCCUCAGCGGUGGUGAAGCCCGGGCAGUCCUACAGACUGACCUGUGAGGUCAGUGGGUUCGAUCUCAGCAGCUAUGGCAUGAGCUGGGUGAAACAGGUCUCCGGGAAAGGGCUGGAGUCGCUGGUAGCGUAUUAUUCCGAAAGUUACAAGUAUUACGCGCCUGGAGUCCAAGACCGGUUCACCGUUUCCAAGGACCGCAGCAACUUUUAUCUGCAAAUGAACAACCUGAGACCGGACGACACGGCCACCUAUUACUGUGCGAGUGACACAUGUGACUAUCUUUACGACUGGGGGAAAGGAACGUCGCUGACGGUGACUUCAGUGGCCAAGUCCUUGCCAUCAGUCUACAUCACCCCUUCCUGCAACAUGGAAUCUGGCCAAGAGAUCAGCCUCCUCUGUCUGGUCAAGGACUAUAUGCCUGAGAGCAUCAGUCAGACAUGGUCCAUUAACGGUGGGGACAUCACCACUGGAAUCAAGAAGUACCCGGCAGUCUUUGGACAAAGUUCACUGUACACAAUGAGCAGCUUGCUCCGAGUCCCUGCAGAGGAUUUCAACAGGAAUGAAGUCUACUUCUGCAAGGCAGGGUACGAGCCAAACGAGAUGGUGACAGCGAGAUGGCCCUCGAUAUCUCCCGCUCGACCUCCAAAGCUCAUCCCACUUGUUCCAUCCCCGGAGUUUAUCCACAAUCAAACAACUGCUGUCCUGGGCUGUGUGAUAUCUGGAUUCUCUCCUGACGACAUUACUGUUUCCUGGAAAAAAGCUGGUGCUGCUCAAGAGGGCAUCGUUCUCCCUUCCACUUCAACAACUGACGGUGGAUUUGAAACAGUCACUUACCUGAGAGUGCCUGUGCAGGAAUGGAUCAGCACACAGGAAUAUACUUGUGAAAUGACCCAGACAUCUUCUGGUUUCAGAGGGAAGGUCAACAUGAGGUAUCAAGACGAAUUGUCUGUCUUUGUUCAAAAUCCAUCCACUGAAGAGAUUUGGAUCAACAAGACGGCUACUCUGGUGUGCAGGGUUGUGGGUGCUGAUCUGAGCCAGGUCCAAAUCUACUGGCAGGUGAGCGAAAGGGAGAAAAUUAAAGGAAAUGUGUCCAAAAAACUGAGAGAGGAAGGGACCCAAGACACGGUGAUCAGCCAACUCCAGACCAGUGUGGAGGAGUGGUCCAGUGGUGUGGAGUACGUGUGCUCUGCCCAACAACCUUCUUCAUCCUCAGCAGUGACAGCACGGACAAAAAGUACCAAAGUGGAGACAAAAAGACCCAAGGUCAGACUGCUGCCUCCACCAGACGAAGGGACCAAGAGUAGGAACACGGCCACCUUCGAGUGUGUGGUCUCUGGAUUCUACCCAGACCUCAUAAGUGUCAGCUGGGAGAAAGGCAGCUCCGUGAUCACCUCCAACACCAGCGCUACACCUACUGCUCUGGAGCAGGGGGGCACUUUCAGCGUCAGCUACUUCCUGACCGUGAGCUUACAGGAGUGGAAGUCAGACUCAGACUUCAGCUGCACAGUGACACAUCCCCCCUCCGGCACCCGUAUCAAGAAGCAAGUGAAGAACACCCAAGAUGAAUGUUCAGAUACCCGCCCCUCAGUCACUUUAAGCAAACCUUCCUUCGAAGAGAUCUGGACGAACAGGACGGCAACCAUUCUGUGUAAGGUGGUUCACAAUGAUUUACAGGGAUUCAGGGUAACCUGGCAGGUGGACGGAAGGAGGAGAAAAGAUGGGGUCAGGACUCAGGGUCCACACAGCCACAGAGGUGAAGACACGAUCACCAGCAGACUGACAGUCCCUGCUGCAGAAUGGGACAGUGGGGCUGAGUACUUGUGUCGGGUGGAGGACAAGAGUUUGCCAACGCCGGAGAAGAGAUCCAUCAAGAAGGACACAGGUGGUGUUGUGACUUAUCCUCAAGUCUACCUCCUCCCCCCUUUCCCCCCUUCAUUGGAUGAGGUAGAGACAGAUCAGACAGUGACCUUGAUGUGCCUGGUCACCAAGUUCUCUCCUGCAGAGAUCUACGUGGCCUGGAUGGCCAACGACACCCUUCUGAAGACAGGGUUCGUUCACCAGCCGGUGACCAAGGACACCAGAAACGGCUGGAACACAAUGACCAGUCAGUUGAAGGUUUCUCCAGAGGACUGGAAUAGCGGCACCACUUUCUCCUGUCUGGUGGGACAUGAGUCGAUUACGACCAGUCUGUUCCAAAGCAUCAAUAAAUCUCACAGCAAACCCACCCUGGUCAAUCUCUCACUUGUUCUGACUGAUAGUUUUAAAUCUUGUGUAUAAUACUGCAUGAUCCAAUCAAUAAAACCCUCGUUUUGUUAGUUUUAUGAUUAUUAACUAUCACAGAGGAUAGUUUAGCUCAUUAAAACAUGAUCAAAAUUUGGACCUUUCUGAACAAUUAAGAACAAAAUUAGACUCAAGAAUCAAAUGUAGCCACAAACAUGAUUCACCACAAAUCUCUGUGCUGCUGGGUACCAUUUCAGACCUUUUUCUGCCAUGUUUGCUCAGAUUUUGUCCCUGCAUGGGAUCACACGAGGCAUUAUAUCUUUGUAUGUGUCAAUGUACUGAUCCAAGUUCAAUAAAUGUGACGUGAAGAUGUUUU